UUUGAUUGAAAUUUUUUUGUUGCUGUCUUUUAUAAUUAUUAAAGCUGAUUUGAACAUUUUUACAGUUUCUUUGAAGAUGCUUUAACUGUCUAUUAAAUUAGAGCAUUAGAAAAUAUUUGUGUACUCACUACGGAGUACCCAAUUUCCUGACCAAAUGACAUGGCCCUGUGAAAUGGGAACAGCUGUCCCUUUUAAUUCUAUAUUAAACUUUUGCUAUGUUGAGAACCAAACAGCCCUUUUUUCCUCCUAUUACCUUUGCCAUGUUAAAUAUGGACAAACCCUAUCCUCUUCCAACCUUGGUCAACCCCACCCCGUGACCUUGUCGGCUCCGGCAUCAUGUGCAAGCUUCAAGCUCACUCGCCAAGCCGACGUCGAUUCCUUAACCGAGAUAUCCCAAUCUGUAAUCCUCUCAAAUUUCGUCGACAUAGUCUCACUGCUGGGUGAAGUCAUCGGUGGGAGGAGGGUGGGUGGGCUUGGUGGUGGUGAGAGAGGACCGUGGCUUGGGAUAAUGGGAUGGAACGGAACUCAUGGAGGGCUAGUAAUUUGCUGAAUCGAAUCGUAUUAUUAUUCGAUUUUUAUUAAUCCAUCUAUUGUUAUUUGUAAAAUCUUCAAUUCACCUAUCUUUUAGUUUUUCAAUAACCCGUGUCUUUGAUGAAAGCCCAACUUAUUAGCUCCAACAUCAACAACUAUAUGUACCGAGGAACAGUCAGCCCCGACCACCAUUCCGAAUCGUCCAUCAGUCAGACCUCACCUCCAUUCCGGAUCGUCGGACAGUCAUUCGGGAUUGUCCAUCAGUCAGGUCCAACUGGCAAUCUGGAUCAUCUAUCAUUGAGACUGUAGAACUCCUGACUCCCCAUCAUCUCCAUGUUGCGCUGCGCUUCGGUGGCCUCCGCUAUGCUACAAUGCUCCGCCGGCCAUUUAUUGCUGGAGAAGCAGAACCCUACCUCCCUGCCUACAACCUUAAUUAGAGGGCCGCCUACCAUCUCUCCUGUCUCAAUCAUAGGAUCUUAGUAAAUCUCCUUUUACUUGAAUGUUGUUUUUCGUGGAAAUUAAGCUCAUUAUUAUUUACAAAUUUAGCUGUCAUAUAUUACCAUUUUUAAUUUGUUCAUAAAAAGUUAAAAACUGAUAUAUGAAAAUUUGUCAAGUUGGAUUUGGUUGAUGACAUGACAAAAACCAACUUUCCUCCAACAUUAAGCAUCUUUAUACCAUGAGAGUUAUAGGAAAACAAAAGAUCUUUGUCUCAAACUUUCUGUGCAAUCUUCAUAAUGCAAUCAAUGGACUUUAAUUCAACAAAGAGAACAAAUUGAACAUAGUAGCUAUCAUUCAAAGAAGUCGUCGGAUGUCCAAAAUUAUCAACGAUUUAAUAUAACAUUUUUUAUUAGUGGUUUUGUAACACUGUUUCUUAUUUAAUUUAACAUUGUUUCCAAUUCAUAUUAUUACUUUUUCAAAUCUGUCAACUUACUGUAUUUAUAUGUUUUUUUUUCUUUUUAGUAUCUGACAUUGUUAACAAGGUGGACAAUUUGAAAAGAAAAGUGGUUGCUGCAAGAGCAGGAAAUGUGUAUUAUUUGAAGUUAUGAGUUUUUAAAAUACUAAAGGAAAAUUUUUCUAAAGGCAAUGGUUGUCUUAAGGAGGUACUCAAUAAAGGAAUCCAUUAUGUAAAUCAGUUGGAGUGUCAUAAAAGUAUAGCCUUUAUGGUAAUGGGAUUUGAUGAUGAGAUUAGUCAUAUGUUUCAUCCUUGCUAUUCACAGGAAAAUGGUUCAUUUCCGAUAAGAAUAUUAGUGUAAAAGUCUAGGUUUUUUGCUAUUUAAUCAGGUGUGAUGUACGGAACACAGUAUGUCAAGUCUAAAUUGUGUAAACUAAGUUGUAUCGAUGUCAAAUCUACUUUAAAGUUAGCCGAAUGUGCACUUCCACUUACUUGCAUGAAUGAUCCAUCCACUGGUGGUCACAUUAAUUUAAAACCAGUUAUGUGACCUCAGUUAAUGGAUCAUUCAUGCAAGCAAGUAGAACUGCAUAUUCAGCUAACUUCAAAGUAGAUUUGACAUCGAUACGACUAAGUUUACACAAUUUAGACUUAACAUUCUGCAUUACGUACAUCGCACCUGAUCCAAUGGCAAAGAAACUAGAAUUUUCCACUAAUAUUCUAUUUAGAAGUGAAUCAUUUUCCUUUAAAUAGCAAAAAAGAUGAAACAUAUGACUAAUCCCAUUACUAUAAAAGUUAUACUUUCAUCACACUCCCAACUGAUUUACAUAAUAAAUUCCUUGAUUGAGUACCUCCUUAAGACAACCAUUGCCUUUAGAAAAAUUUGCCUUUGGUAUUUUAAAAACUCCCAACUUCAAAUAGUAAACAUUUCUUGCUCUUGCAAUAACCACUUUUCUUUUCAAAUAGUUCACCUUAUUAGCAAUGUCCGAUACUAAAAAGAGAAAAAAAAAACAUAUAAAUAUAGCAAGUUGAUAGAUUUAAAAAGUAAUAAUAUGAAUUGGAAACAAUGUUAAAUUAAAUAAGAAACAAUGUUACAAAACCACUAAAAAGAAUUGUUAUAUUAAACCGUUGAUAAUUUUGGAUAUCCAAUGACUUCUUUGAAUGAUGGCUACUAUCUUCAAUUAGUUCUCUUUGUUGAAUUAAAGUCUAUUGAUUCCGUUAUGAAGAUUGCACAGAAAGUUCGAGACAAAGAUCUUUUGUUUGCCUAUAACUCUGAUGGUAUAAAGAUGCUUAAUAUUGGAGGAAAGUUCGUUUUUAUCAUGCCAUCAACCAAAUCCAGCUUGGCAAACAUGAGGGGCUUUCUGCCAUCUAUAGAUUAUAGUUUUAAUGUUUAGUUUUAUGAAACAGACUUAAAAUUUUGUUUUUAAAACUGUGCUUUGUUAAUUUUGCUGGAAGUGUUUGUGAUUGAGUUUAAUUUACUGGUACUGUAACAUAAUGUAUUGCUGCCAUUUAAAACUAUUCUAAACUCUGAAUUUAUUGUCAAGUUGUACUUUUGGUUUGGUUGUGCACUUUUUCCCAUUAUAAUAAGGAAUGAUGUUGACCUUGCUGGACGUCGAACAAGACUAUGUUGGUCUAAUGAGGAUGAAACUGCUCAAGGUUUGGAGUCGUUUCUUAAAGCAUUUGCCAGAAUAGACUACUUGGCCCCUGUCAUGGUUUAAGGCCCGUGAUAUAUUCAGUGCCGUAAAGGAUGUUGGGGCUAAUGUUAUUAUGAUAUCUCAGGUUCAAGUCAUUCCAAACUGUAGUAUUUUGGCAGCAGUUGGCCAAAAAAUUGCCUGUACUCCAAGAGUUAGUGCAACUCUUUUCAAUGCACUGGCAAAGGCAAACAUUAAUGUGUGUGCAAUUGCUCAUGGUUGUACUGAGUACAAAAUUACUGUAGUGAUAAAGCAGGAGGAUUGUUUUAGGGCUCCGAGAGCAGUCCAUUUUAGAUUAUAUCUUUCAAGAACUGCAAUAGCAGUGGGCAAUAUCCGACCUGCUCUGAUUGGUGUCACAUUAUUCGAUCAGUUAAGGGAUCAGCAGCGGAAGUUGCUCCUUUCUACAGUCCGAAGUUGCUCCUUUCUACAGUCCAAUUAGUAUAUCUACGGUUGUUGACUUAUCUAGAUGGAGAGAACUCCGAAAAGAGAAAGGAGUUUUAGCAGAUAUGGAAAAGUUUGUGCAGCAUGUACAUGGGAAUCAUGUUAUUCCAAAUACUGUUUUGGUUGACCGCACAGCUGACUCUAUUCUUGCAAGUCAUUGCAAUGACCGGUUGUGGUCACGAAGUCACUCCUGACAAAAAGCUAGUUGGCUGAUCCUGGAUUCAGGGAAUUUGUGAGCCUAUGAGGGCAAAAAUAUCCUGUGAAGCUGAGUUUCUCCAUCCCAUCAUCAUGCGUUAGCAGGUUCACCCUAGAAAUUUCUCAACAGAAAAUUGUUGCUAGUACGUGAUGUUUAACCGUCAUUACGCCCAACCCUCCCGGAGUCAUUAGAUUUUUGUGGUCAUCAAGAGAAUACGUGUCAUCAGCUUGAAAGUAUAAUAUUUAUUUGGAAUUAUGCCCAGCAUUUCAGAUGGCGAUGUGAAUUGUCAUACCUCUUUGGUAGACUUCGUGACGGUUCUCUUGGGUUUCCGACUUUGGUAACUUGUAGAAUUGUGAUCCCAUCUAUGAAUGAAUGAUUUUGUAGAUGUGAAUCUUCCUUGCGAAUUUUGCUCUUCUAUUGUUUACCCUUGUGCUUUUGGUUUCUAUUUGUAUGGUAAUUUGUGGACAUUGUGCGUUGUUA